rnacentral:tRNA from 1 species
CAGGGAGACAACACAAUGAUUUUGAUGCCUGAGUGCUUUUAUUCUUAGGCCGAAAUCCUGUCACCUUAGGUCGAUCGGUACCUCAGCUUUGAAGUCAAGGAUCAGCAGCAAUGUUGAUUGCUUGAUGGAGAUUUUCAGUUCCUAAACUUUGUCUAGGUCACACCCCAAAAGGGAUGAGACUCCUGGGCCAUUAGCUCAGGUGGUUAGAGCGCACCCCUGAUAAGGGUGAGGUCCCUGGUUCAAGUCCAGGAUGGCCCAUUCGGUGUUGGGGGUUUAGCUCAGUUGGUAGAGCGCCUGCUUUGCAAGCAGGAUGUCAGCGGUUCGAGUCCGCUUACCUCCACUGAUUACCACCUCUUCCAUAAUCUGUAGAAGGGAAAAUUUUUGUGUUGUGAUCAUAAAUCUGAACGAAUCUAGCUUCCUAAUGAAACAUUAAGAUGCUGGACUCAUUGAAUUAAUUUCAUUGUUUUCAGAGAACCUUGACAACUGCAUAGAUUAUUUUUAAAGACAAUAAGCAUCUUUAAUGAUGCAGAUUUAUUAUUUGUGCGAAUGCAUUAAUAACAAUUCUAUUAAGCUGAUGCUUCAAUUUUUGAAGUUAUU